UCCGGUUUGUCACCGGCAGUCUCAUUAGAGUGCCCAACUGAAUGUAGCAACUAAUGACAAGGGUUGCGCUCGUUGCGGGACUUAACCCAACAUCUCACGACACGAGCUGACGACAGCCAUGCAGCACCUGUGUCUAGGUUCCCUUUCGGGCACACUCACAUCUCUGCGAGCUUCCUAGCAUGUCAAGGGUAGGUAAGGUUUUUCGCGUUGCAUCGAAUUAAACCACAUGCUCCGCUGCUUGUGCGGGUCCCCGUCAAUUCCUUUGAGUUUUAGCCUUGCGGCCGUACUCCCCAGGCGGGGUGCUUAAUGCGUUAGCGACGGCACUGCGGGGGUCAAUACCCACAACACCUAGCACCCAUCGUUUACAGCGUGGACUAC
rnacentral:misc_RNA from 1 species